rnacentral:rRNA from 1 species
CCUACGGGUGGCAGCAGUGAGGAAUAUUGGUCAAUGGGCGCGAGCCUGAACCAGCCAAGUAGCGUGAAGGAUGACUGCCCUACGGGUUGUAAACUUCUUUUAUAAAGGAAUAAAGUGAGGCACGUGUGCCUUUUUGUAUGUACUUUAUGAAUAAGGAUCGGCUAACUCCGUGCCAGCAGCCGCGGUAAUAUGGAGGAUCCGAGCGUUAUCCGGAUUUAUUGGGUUUAAAGGGAGCGUAGAUGGGUUGUUAAGUCAGUUGUUAAAGUUUGCGGCUCAAACGGAAAAUUGCAAUUGAUACUGGCAGGCUGGAGUAAAGGUGAGGUAUGCGGGAUGCGGGGUGUAGCGGUGAAAUGCUUAGAUAUCACGAAGAACUCCGAUUGCGAAGGCAGCCUACUAAACUGCAACUGACAUUGAUGCUCGAAAGUGUGGGUAUCAAACAGGAUUAGAUACCCGAGUAGUC